UCCAGAAGGCCCUGUCGCCAGGACAACGGGAGGGGGGGAGAUGGGCGUGGCCUAGGGGCGACCAGAUUCCCGAAGGCAGAGGGAUCCACUAGCCCCGCCUCCUGGGCCCUGGCCCCGCCCCCCGAGAGCCCGGCGAGAGCGGUCCAAGCCCAAGAGGUGCAGUGUCAGCAGCCUUGCCCUUCCCAGGAUAUCCCACAAGAUUCUGGAAUCCCACCCCUGCUCCUCCCGGAUCGCCUGGUGUCUCCCCCAUCUCGGUGUGGCCCUGAGAAGGGAAAACAUAGUGCGAGCACGUUGGAGGAGAAGGGGCAGGGAACAGGCCUCAGUCUUCCCACUGCAGCCUCUACCCCAAGAGCGACUGGCUGUUCCAGCACUGGCAGCUUAACAAGGACACCAGGAAAGGAGAUUAACUGGGGGCCAGAGAGAGAGGAACAGCGCAGCUGGAGACCGCAGUGAAGGUGGCAACCCUGCCAGGGCCCUCCCACAUCGGCCUCUGCCCUCACACUACUCCCUCCCCAAGCAGACCCUCCCAAACUCCAAGCUCAGGGGAGGAGGAGGAGGGUACCACAGGCAGGGCUCCCUCGGGGACUGGAGAAGACAGAAGCCACCCCACCCACACCCACCACCGGACACACAGAAGACAGACUUCCUCUCAAAAAAGCAUCUGAGAAGCUGUGUACCCCAACAUGUGGAGGGCACCAGUUGCGAGAUCGAAGGUCAAUGCUUGAUGCUAGAGUGGGAUUCUGUAAGUUCCCAGUAUGUGACCCACGUUUGGCUGUAGCUAAGUGGGCAGCAAGAGAACUGGAGGGACGUGGGGCCGCCGACACAAAGCCUGUCCCACCCAUGACAGAGAUGAGGGGCAAGGAGUGCCUCUCGGAAGGAAAACAGGGGUUCAUCAAGAUACACUCCGUCUUCUAAGCCACAGACUCGUAAAGAAAAUCCUGAGCUCUGGGUUUCAAGCCCAUGGGCACAACAAGCAGAGAAGAAGGAAAAGUUGGAGGUGGGGGGUGGGGCUAAGUUAAAUACACCCAAGGCUGGGCCAUCUUGGUAACAGAAUAACGAGAACUGAAAGAGGAUGUUCACUCCACAUCCUGAAAAGGUGGUCUGCAGCCUGGACUGGGGGUCCAGGAGGGCAGGGAAGAAGCAGCUCUCCUGGCUGUGUCGGGUGUCCCCAUACCCUGCGGGGUGUGGGGCAAGGCCCCAGGGUGGAAGCUUCUAGCCUCUCCCGGUCUGGGGGAGGGUGGGAGCCCAUGACCCCUCCAACUUCAGCCCACCUCACAAAGAAAGAUCCCCGAAUGUGAUGCAGACACAUCGGGGUGCACAUAAAGAAAAUGGAAUCGCAGAAAUUCAUCAUUUAUUCUAGAGAGGGGAUGAAGGCAAAUUUUUGUCACCCUGCCUUAGAAGCCAGCGUGAGGGAAAUGGGGCACAAGGGGAAGGUACCAAAGUUCCCAGAAUGUGGCUGA